rnacentral:misc_RNA from 1 species
GACAGUUGUUUGCUUGCUGGAAACUUCGACUAGUAUAUUCCUUCAACGCUAUGAUUACGUUUCUAGUAAUCGUUCUUUGUAUACUAUGAUCUUGAUAUUGAUAAUCUAGUCUUAGCAUAUGGAGGAGGAGGCCUUUGAUAGACGGGAAGUAAUUAAUCGUGUGGAAGUCCGGUUGUUUUUGCCACACAUUGCCCUUUCAAGACAUCUCUGGACGACACAGCCUGAUUUUUGAGGGAUUUGGUGACUGAUCAGAAUUCGAUAAAGAUUCAAACUUUGAGCUAAUUUGAAGCUACUUUUCGUCUUGAUUAUGGAUUUAGCUACAAGGGUGUAUAAGCAUAAGUUAGAAUUGGUAGCUUUGUGUAAACAGUAGAGAAAUGGUACAUGUUUCUGCAAUGUAUGUGAUGUUCGUUUAUGAAAUAUAUAGUGGAAAACGGAUGGUAUUUUACCAGAUACU